GACGAACGCUGGCGGCGUGCUUAACACAUGCAAGUCGAACGGAAAGGCCCUGCUUUUGUGGGGUGCUCGAGUGGCGAACGGGUGAGUAACACGUGAGUAACCUGCCCUUGUCUUUGGGAUAACUUCAGGAAGCUGGGGCUAAUACCGGAUAGGAGCUCCUGCUGCAUGGUGGGGGUUGGAAAGUUUCGGCUGUUGGGGAUGGACUCGCGGCUUAUCAGCUUGUUGGUGGGGUAGUGGCUUACCAAGGCUUUGACGGGUAGCCGGCCUGAGAGGGUGACCGGCCACAUUGGGACUGAGGUACGGCGCAGAAUCCUACGGGAGGCAGCAGUGGGGAAUAUUGCACAAUGGGCGGAAGCCUGAUGCAGCGACGCCGCGUGCGGGAUGACGGCCUUCGGGUUGUAAACCGCUUUCGCCUGUGACGAAGCGUGAGUGACGGUAAUGGGUAAAGAAGCACCGGCUAACUACGUG
rnacentral:rRNA from 1 species